GCGACGCCGCGUGAGGGAUGACGGCCUUCGGGUUGUAAACCUCUUUCAGUAGGGAAGAAGCGAAAGUGACGGUACCUGCAGAAGAAGCACCGGCUAACUACGUGCCAGCAGCCGCGGUAAUACGUAGGGUGCGAGCGUUAUCCGGAAUUAUUGGGCGUAAAGAGCUCGUAGGCGGUUUGUCGCGUCUGUCGUGAAAGUCCGGGGCUUAACCCCGGAUCUGCGGUGGGUACGGGCAGACUAGAGUGCAGUAGGGGAGACUGGAAUUCCUGGUGUAGCGGUGGAAUGCGCAGAUAUCAGGAGGAACACCGAUGGCGAAGGCAGGUCUCUGGGCUGUAACUGACGCUGAGGAGCGAAAGCAUGGGGAGCGAACAGGAUUAGAUACCCUGGUAGUCCAUGCCGUAAACGUUGGGCACUAGGUGUGGGGACCAUUCCACGGUUUCCGCGCCGCAGCUAACGCAUUAAGUGCCCCGCCUGGGGAGUACGGCCGCAAGGCUAAAACUCAAAGGAAUUGACGGGGGCCCGCACAAGCGGCGGAGCAUGCGGAUUAAUUCGAUGCAACGCGAAGAACCUUACCAAGGCUUGACAUGUUCCCGAUCGCCGUAGAGAUACGGUUUCCCCUUUGGGGCGGGUUCACAGGUGGUGCAUGGUUGUCGUCAGCUCGUGUCGUGAGAUGUUGGGUUAAGUCCCGCAACGAGCGCAACCCUCGUUCCAUGUUGCCAGCACGUAAUGGUGGGGACUCAUGGGAGACUGCCGGGGUCAACUCGGAGGAAGGUGAGGACGACGUCAAAUCAUCAUGCCCCUUAUGUCUUGGGCUUCACGC
rnacentral:rRNA from 1 species